CCCUUAGAUGUUCUGGGCUGCACGCGCGCUACACUGAUACUUUCAGCGAGUCCACCACCUUGCCUGGGAAGGUGGGGUAACCUCUGGAAAGUGCAUCGUGAUGGGGAUCGAUUAUUGUAAUUAUUAAUCUUCAACGAGGAAUUCCUAGUAAGCAUGUGUCAUCAGCCCGUGCUGAUUACGUCCCUGCCCUUUGUACACACCGCCCGUCGCUCCUACCGAUUGAAUGGUCCGGUGAAGCCUCGGGAUUGUGGUUAGUUUCCUUCAUUGGAAGUUAGCCGCGAGAACUUGUCUAAACCUUAUCAUUUAGAGGAAGGUGAAGUCGUAACA
rnacentral:rRNA from 1 species